rnacentral:rRNA from 1 species
UACAGAGGUCCCGAGCGUUGUUCGGAUUCACUGGGCGUGAAGGGUGCGUAGGUGGUGGCGCAAGUCGGAUGUGAAAUCUCGGAGCUCAACUCCGAAACUGCAUUGGAAACUACCUUGCUAGAGGGUUGGAGGGGGGACUGGAAUACUUGGUGUAGCAGUGAAAUGCGUAGAUAUCAAGUGGAACACCAGUGGCGAAGGCGAGUCCCUGGACAACUCCUGACACUGAGGCACGAAAGCUAGGGGAGCAAACAGG